rnacentral:rRNA from 1 species
AGCGUAUAUUAAAGUUGUUGCAGUUAAAAAGCUCGUAGUUGAAUUUCGGGAUCAAUACGUCGGUCGUGCUUUCGGGUACGUACUGGCGUCAUUGGUUUCUCCUUUCUGACGAACCAUGAUGUCAUUAAUUUGGUGUUAUGGGGAGUUAGGACUGUUACUUUGAAAAAAUUAGAGUGUUCAAAGCAGGCAUUAGCUUGAAUACAUUAGCAUGGAAUAAUGAAAUAGGACGUUCGAUCCUAUUUUGUUGGUUUCUAGGAUCAACGUAAUGAUUAAUAGGGAUAGUUGGGGGCAUUAGUAUUCAAUUGUCAGAGGUGAAAUUCUUGGAUUUAUUGAAGACUAACUACUGCGAAAGCAUUUGCCAAGGAUGUUUUCAUUAAUCAAGAACGAAAGUUAGGGGAUCGAAGACGAUCAGAUACCGUCGUAGUCUUAACCAUAAACUAUGCCGACUAGGGAUCGGAUGAUGUUAAUUUUUUAAUGACUCAUUC